rnacentral:rRNA from 1 species
UACGUAGGUGGCGAGCGUUGUCCGGAUUUACUGGGCGUAAAGGGAGCGUAGGCGGACUUUUAAGUGAGAUGUGAAAUACUCGGGCUCAACUUGAGUGCUGCAUUUCAAACUGGAAGUCUAGAGUGCAGGAGAGGAGAAUGGAAUUCCUAGUGUAGCGGUGAAAUGCGUAGAGAUUAGGAAGAACACCAGUGGCGAAGGCGGCUUACUGGACGGCAACUGACGCUGAGGCUCGAAAGCGUGGGGAGCAAACAGG